GGAAAAAUCUAUUUAGGUUGUUUGAAAGUUCCUAUUCACACUCAAAAACACUUUGCAAAGGGAGAUGGAAUACCCAGCGUAAAAAGUUCCUUUAUGAAAAGACAUCUUUUCAAGCUAGGAUAAAUAUGAGGAAGACAGAUACUCGGCUAGCAACCUGACCUUUAGAAUUCCUACGUUUUAAAAGAGAAUCGUCUGUUACUUAAAGAUUUUCUUCUACCUACAACAGAGCUGAUAUUUAGAACUGAAAUUUCCUAGUAAUUAUAGCACAUUUGGCAUUUGGUGAUUUGCAGUGUUCCAGCCAUCUUCAUCCUAGAGGAUUCCCGAUGCUGAUUGUGGAUGGAUGUCAGUUCUGAGGGUUGUUUGAAUGGAAAGGCAGUCAGAGCAGGCUGCUGAUUGCAGUGACCUUGGCUUCAUUUUAUGGCUUCUAAGAACUUGAAGUGGGAAAGAAGAUGGUUAUAUUUGUUUUUUUAUCCUCAUGAUGCAGUAUUCUAAAUGGAUAUCUAAUAAAGUUCCAUCUUGAGAACUAAUGAAUUCUCUAUGACUGAAAUAACUGAGAGAUAGGUUGCACAGCAAUUUGUUGAAAGGCUUUCCUAGGAGUUUAGAAGGCAAGAGAAACCAAAGGAAAGAACAAAGAGUGAGUUCAAAACCUAGGAUUGAAUCCCUAUUUUGCCCAAUUAAAUACCCUUUUACAACUCAUCUCCUCUGAAUCUUUGGAAAUCUGUAAAAAUAAAAUUAUAAUUCCUACCAGAAGA